GAUGAAGAACGUAGCGAAAUGCGAUAAGUAAUGUGAAUUGCAGAAUUCAGUGAACCAUCGAAUCUUUGAACGCACAUUGCGCCCGCUGGUAUUCCGGCGGGCAUGCCUGUUCGAGCGUCAUUUCAACCCUCAAGCCCCCGGGUUUGGUGUUGGGGAUCGGCUCUGCCUUCUGGCGGUGCCGCCCCCGAAAUACAUUGGCGGUCUCGCUGCAGCCUCCAUUGCGUAGUAGCUAACACCUCGCAACUGGAACGCGGCGCGGCCAUGCCGUAAAACCCCAACUUCUGAAUGUUGACCUCGGAUCAGGUAGGAAUACCCGCUGAACUUAAGCAUAUCAAUAAGCGGAGGA
rnacentral:misc_RNA from 1 species